rnacentral:lncRNA from 1 species
GAAUUCAUUUUCUUUCUGGACCAAAAUAAUAUUUAUUCCCGGACCGAUGAUACUAUUCACAAACCGGUAACUUACUAUUUUAGACACAGAAAAAUGGGGCGUUACAUUAUUGCCUUGAGAAUUGUGAAUUUUGUGGUAGUACUGAAAAUAGUGAUUUUAAGAAAAUUGUGAUUUUGUAGAAUUCUGAAUUGUCUGAAGUAUCUGAGAUACCUGUAUGAUGUGAGACAACAUUGAAAUAUACUUUAGCAAUAUUUUUCCAUCAGUGCUAUCUAAAUAUUUAUCUGUUAUAUGAUUGAUAUCAUAUCGAA